GUCCAGCCGCCGCGGUCAUACCGGCCGCCCGAGUGAUGGCCGAUAUUAUUGGGCCUAAAGCGUCCGUAGCUGGCCGAACAGGUCCGUCGGGAAAUCCACGUGCUUAACACGUGGGCGACCGGCGGAAACUGUUCGGCUUGGGGCCGGAGGACCCGAGGGGUACGUCCGGGGUAGGAGUGAAAUCCUGUAAUCCUGGACGGACCGCCGGUGGCGAAAGCGCCUCGGGAAGACGGACCCGACAGUGAGGGACGAAAGCUGGGAUCUCGAACCGGAUUAGAUACCGUGUAGUCC
rnacentral:rRNA from 1 species